GGAAUCAAGCAGGGGGGCCUGUGGAGUCAAGCAUUGUGCUUGGUUCAGCAAGCUGAGAUUGGCGUUACGCCUGACCCUUCGAACCUGUUGGUUAGAACCAGUGUAGGGAGCGUUCGCAAUGAAUAU
rnacentral:ncRNA from 1 species